GUGCGCACUUCAGCAGCACAUAUACUAAAAUUGGAACAAUACAGAGAAGAUUAGUAUGGGUCCUGCACAAGGAUGACAUGCAAAUUCAUGAAGCAUUCCAUAUUUUU
rnacentral:snRNA from 1 species